UCAACGACCUCUCUCUCUUGCUUUACCUAACUCAGUUUCAGACAGGAAACUUGAGAAUCAAAUUAAGCUUUCUACAAGGUCCGGAUUUGCAGAAAAACAUCGAGAACGGAACGAAAACGAUCUGCUCAUCGUUUAUUUUAGAUUUGAUGGAAGGAGGGCAGACCGGUGGUGGUGGCAGCGGAGGUCCAGCUCCGUUUCUUCUGAAGACCUACGAGAUGGUCGAUGACUCGGCCACCGACGAAAUCGUGUCGUGGAGUGCUAACAAGAACAGCUUUGUCGUCUGGAACCCGCCUGAUUUCGCUGCUCGUCUCCUCCCCACUUAUUUCAAGCACAACAAUUUCUCUAGCUUCAUCAGGCAGCUCAACACCUAUGGAUUCCGGAAGAUUGACCCGGAGAAAUGGGAGUUUGCCAAUGAAGAUUUCGCUAAGGAUCAGAAGCAUCUUCUUAAGAAUAUUUACCGCAGGAAGCCUAUUCAUAGCCACAGUCAUCCUCAAGGCUCUGGAGGGGAUGCAGAAAGAGCGGCUCUUGAGGAAGAGAUUGAGAAGCUUUCACGAGAGAAGACUGCUCUUCAGGGCAAUCUUUGGAGAUUCCGACAGCAGCGAUCUGGGACGAAGGUUCAGUUGGAAGAUUUGGAGAGAAGGGUACAGGAUAUGGAACAGAGACAGGUGAGGAUGAUGACCUUCUUAGCAAAGGCUGUGGAGAAUCCAAUUUUCGUGGAGCAUCUUGUUGGAAUGGCUGGAUCCUUCAUGGACUUGUCUGCGAUAAAUAAGAGGAGAAGGUUACCUAAUCUUGAUUACUGUCAAGAAGUUCCGGAUAAUAGCCUUGUUGACGACCAUACUAGUAGUACCAAAGCUGAUAUUGGGCAUAUUUUCCACCAAGAUUUCUCUAGUAAGUUGAACCUUGAGCUGUCACCAGCUGUUUCAGAUAGUAACUUGGUUUAUCCAAGUGCACAGAGCUCCAAUGAAGAUGGGAGGAGUCCACAGAGGAAAACUUCAGAGGGAGAUGUAAGAGAUGCACAAGUCAUGAUGGAGGGUCUUUCAUUUACUCCUGAAACAUUUGAUCUUUCGGACACUGGGACAUCUUUUACAUUGAAAAAGGAUUCAACUUUGUCAAGACAAGUUAGAGAAAUUGAUACCUCAAGGCUCCAAUGCUUGCCACAUGGUUUGACUUCUGCUGAAGAAGGUGAUGGUCACAUCUCCUGCCAUUUAAAUCUAACGCUUGCUUCUUCUGCAUUGCAAAUGGAGAAUAGUCAUCAUUCCUCUAGACUUUCCCAGUUAAGUCCUGAAAUUGGUACUUCCCCUGAGUUGAGGUCUAGCGCCAAUGGUAAAGAAGCUGAUCUUAGAGUUGCUUCAAAAACAAGAGGUACCAGUAAUGAUGAUGCACCCAAGCCUUCUUCUUAUGAUGCCCCGACAGAUAAUAAAGGGCCUUUGGCUACUCAGGGCCGGGUGAAUGAUGUAUUCUGGGAACAAUUCCUAACUGAAAGGCCAGGCUCUUCUGAUACUGAGGAAGCAAGUUCGAGUUUUAGGGCAAACCCAUGUGAUGAUCAGGAAGAGAAAAUUUCUGGGCAUGGAAAAUCAUGGAGAAACAGAAAAGAUAUGGAACAGCUCACUCUCUGAGCACUCUUGUGUGGUCGAAGUCCAGUGACUGGGUUCAUAAAAUUGCUCCUCAGAUUGUGCCACCGUUGGGCUGUUGCUAUUCUUCAUUCAAGGAUUAAAGUAUAUUUACCUAUCGCAACAUAUGUUUAUCUUAGGACAGCUGCAUAAUUAUAUCCUACCACAUUUUGAUCACUAUACCAGUUUAAGAAUUGGGCUGAAGAUUGAAUUGGAGAUGGGACUGAGGAGCUCUUACCAGGUAGCAAGCAGGUUAAGCCUAAAGACCUGCCCAGUUUAUCAUAACUAUUUGUAUUUACAAGCCAUUAUACAGUUCAUAAAAAAAACCUGUAGUUGAUGAGCACAGCACUGCUUGAAAGUGAUGAAUGAUUCUUUUGUGAUAAAACUGAACUCAUUUUGGAGUUAUGAGAGAGCAAACCUUCAGGUUAUAUGCACUUGGGAUGUGUGGAGCCUCACUCUCCAGUAGGGCAUCUACUCCUAAGACUGGCUGAAGCAUAUUCCA